rnacentral:rRNA from 1 species
GUGGGGAAUAUUGCACAAUGGGCGCAAGCCUGAUGCAGCAACGCCGCGUGAGGGACGACGGCCUUCGGGUUGUAAACCUCUUUUAGCAGGGAAGAAGCGAAAGUGACGGUACCUGCAGAAAAAGCACCGGCUAACUACGUGCCAGCAGCCGCGGUAAUACGUAGGGUGCAAGCGUUGUCCGGAAUUAUUGGGCGUAAAGAGCUCGUAGGCGGUUUGUCGCGUCUGCUGUGAAAUCCCGAGGCUCAACCUCGGGCCUGCAGUGGGUACGGGCAGACUAGAGUGCGGUAGGGGAGAUUGGAAUUCCUGGUGUAGCGGUGGAAUGCGCAGAUAUCAGGAGGAACACCGAUGGCGAAGGCAGAUCUCUGGGCCGCUACUGACGCUGAGGAGCGAAAGCAUGGGGAGCGAACAGGAUUAGAUACCCUAGUAGUCC